UACGUAGGUGGCGAGCGUUGUCCGGAUUUACUGGGCGUAAAGAGCGCGCAGGCGGUCGGCCAAGUCGAGUGUGAAAGCCCCCGGCUCAACUGGGGAGGGUCAUUCGAUACUGGUCGACUCGAAGGCAGGAGAGGGAAGCGGAAUUCCCGGUGUAGUGGUGAAAUGCGUAGAUAUCGGGAGGAACACCAGUGGCGAAGGCGGCUUCCUGGCCUGUUCUUGACGCUGAGGCGCGAAAGCUAGGGGAGCAAACGGG
rnacentral:rRNA from 1 species